rnacentral:rRNA from 1 species
AAGACCUUGCGCUUUUGGAGCGGCCGAUGUCUGAUUAGCUUGUUGGUGAGGUAAAGGCUUACCAAGGCUUCGAUCAGUAGCUGGUCUGAGAGGACGGCCAGCCACACUGGGACUGAGACACGGCCCAGACUCCUACGGGAGGCAGCAGUGGGGAAUUUUGGACAAUGGGGGCAACCCUGAUCCAGCCAUGCCGCGUGAGUGAAGAAGGCCUUCGGGUUGUAAAGCUCUUUCAGCCGGAACGAAACGGUUACGGUUAAUACCCGUGAUUACUGACGGUACCGGAAGGAGAAGCACCGGCUAACUACGUGCCAGCAGCCGCGGUAAUACGUAGGGUGCGAGCGUUAAUCGGAAUUACUGGGCGUAAAGCGUGCGCAGGUGGUUUUGUAAGUCAGAUGUGAAAGCCCCGGGCUCAACCUGGGAACU